rnacentral:rRNA from 1 species
ACCUACGGGAGGCAGCAGUGGGGGAUAUUGCACAAUGGGGGAAACCCUGAUGCAGCGACGCCGCGUGAGUGAGGAAGUAUUUCGGUAUGUAAAGCUCUAUCAGCAGGGAAGAAAAUGACGGUACCUGACUAAGAAGCCCCGGCUAACUACGUGCCAGCAGCCGCGGUAAUACGUAGGGGGCAAGCGUUAUCCGGAUUUACUGGGUGUAAAGGGAGCGCAGGCGGCGAGUUAAGUCAGCGGUAAAAUUUCGGGGCUCAACCCCGACGAGCCGUUGAAACUGGCUUGCUAGAGUGGGCGAGAAGUAU